rnacentral:snRNA from 1 species
AGAGGGUGAGAGCCCCGUCG